rnacentral:tRNA from 1 species
GCCUUCGUGGUGUAACGGUUAGCACACUCGGCGCGUAUUCGAGAGGUCCAGGUUCGAAUCUCGGCGAGGGCA